GCCGCCGAGAUUGCCCUCCCUGCCCGGUCCAGUCCUCCAACCUCUAGCAAGGGGACGCGAAGUCGUGAUUCCCUGUCCAACUCUGGGGGCUCGGAAAGAGAACAAGUCGGGGGCCCAGGCUCAGCCCUUGGAGUUAAAGGAGGGCCAGACCCAGCGCCCAGGUCGGCGGGUCCAGCAGCCACCCCGCCCCCUCCGUGAGUGCAGCAGGGGUGAGGAGAAGCCAAGUUGCCUGUUAAUGGGAGCUCUUACCUCCCCACACCCCUGAGGAGCUCUCAGGGGACGAAGCGACGUCGAGCAGAGGAGCGAAGAGCGACCCCGGCCAGGAGCCCCGGGGGUGCGCUACGGCGGCUCAGGCUUUCUACUCUGGACGUGACCACUGAUACUCUGAUUUGUGGUACCUGUGAAACUCCUUCCAGUCUAAUCACAGUUUUGGAGCUCACUACCGUAGACCUACAACAAAUCUAGGGAGAGAGGGCACUGAUCGCCAGACCACAUCACCUGUUUCACCUCGUAUGGUGGUGAAUGGAACCCAGUGCUGAAGUUGGAGACUUAGGUCUUAUCUUCAAUUCCUCCUUUUUCCUUCGACUCACUCUUCCAGAUGCACACAUUCACUCCCUCACUAAGUCACACAGAAUGGACAGCACAUGAAAUAUAGGAUGUC